CAGACUCCUACGGGAGGCAGCAGUGGGGAAUUUGGACAAUGGGGGGCUAACCCUGAUCCGAGCCAUGCCGCGUGAGUGAAGAAGGCCUUCGGGUUGUAAAGCUACUUUCGGCGGGGGUACAAAAACGGCGACCGUCGAAGUAACGGUUGUUAAUGAUGGUACCCGAAGAAGAAGCACCGGCUAACUACGUGCCAGCAGCCGCGGUAAUUC
rnacentral:rRNA from 1 species